rnacentral:rRNA from 1 species
AACGAACGCUGGCGGCAUGCCUAACACAUGCAAGUCGAACGAGACCUUCGGUCUAGUGGCGCACGGGUGCGUAACGCGUGGGAAUCUGCCCUUGGGUUCGGAAUAACAGUUAGAAAUGACUGCUAAUACCGGAUAAUGUCUUCGGACCAAAGAUUUAUCGCCCAGGGAUGAGCCCGCGUAGGAUUAGCUAGUUGGUGAGGUAAAGGCUCACCAAGGCGACGAUCCUUAGCUGGUCUGAGAGGAUGAUCAGCCACACUGGGACUGAGACACGGCCCAGACUCCUACGGGAGGCAGCAGUGGGGAAUAUUGGACAAU